rnacentral:rRNA from 1 species
CGAACGAACCUUCGGGUUAGUGGCGGACGGGUGAGUAACGCGUGAGAAUCUGCCCUCAGGAGGGGGAUAACGGUUGGAAACGACCGCUAAUACCCCAUAUGCCGAUAGGUGAAAUGAAUUUCGCCUGAGGAUGAGCUCGCGUCUGAUUAGCUUGUUGGUGAGGUAAUGGCUCACUAAGGCUUCGAUCAGUAGCUGGUCUGAGAGGAUGAUCAGCCACACUGGGACUGAGACACGGCCCAGACUCCUACGGGAGGCAGCAGUGGGGAAUUUUCCGCAAUGGGCGAAAGCCUGACGGAGCAACGCCGCGUGAGGGACGGAGGCCUCUGGGCUGUAAACCUCUUUUCUCAAGGAAGAAGAUAUGACGGUACUUGAGGAAUAAGCCACGGCUAAUUCCGUGCCAGCAGCCGCGGUAAUACGGGAGUGGCAAGCGUUAUCCGGAAUUAUUGGGCGUAAAGCGUCCGCAGGCGGCCUUUCAAGUCUGCUGUUAAAGCGUGGAGCUCAACUCCAUUAUGGCAGUGGAAACUGAUCGGCUUGAGUAUGGUAGGGGCAGAGGGAAUUCCCGGUGUAGCGGUGAAAAUGCGUAGAUAUCGGUAAGAACACCAGUGGCGAAGGCGCUCUGCUGGGCCAUUACUGACGCUCAUGGACGAAAGCCAGGGGAGCGAAAGGGAUUAGAUACCCCUGUAGUCCUGGCCGUAAACGAUGAACACUAGGUGUCGGGGGAAUCGACCCCUUCNGGUGUCGUAGCUAACGCGUUAAGUGUUCCGCCUGGGGAGUACGCACGCAAGUGUGAAACUCAAAGGAAUUGACGGGGGCCCGCACAAGCGGUGGAGUAUGUGGUUUAAUUCGAUGCAACGCGAAGAACCUUACCAGGGUUUGACAUCCUGAGAACCUCUUAGAAAUUUGAGGGUGCCUUCGGGAAUUCAGCGACAGGUGGUGCAUGGCUGUCGUCAGCUCGUGUCGUGAGAUGUUGGGUUAAGUCCCGCAACGAGCGCAACCCACGUUUUUAGUUGCCAGCAUUUAGUUGGGCACUCUAGAAAGACCGCCGGUGAUAAACCGGAGGAAGGUGUGGAUGACGUCAAGUCAUCAUGCCCCUUACACCCUGGGCUACACACGUACUACAAUGCUACGGACAAAGGGCAGCAAACUCGCGAGAGCUAGCAAAUCCCAUAAACCGUGGCUCAGUUCAGAUCGUAGGCUGCAACUCGCCUACGUGAAGUAGGAAUCGCUAGUAAUCGCAGGUCAGCAUACUGCGGUGAAUACGUUCCCGGGCCUUGCACACACCGCCCGUC